GAUGAAGAACGCAGCGAAAUGCGAUAAGUAAUGUGAAUUGCAGAAUUCAGUGAAUCAUCGAAUCUUUGAACGCACAUUGCGCCCGCCAGUAUUCUGGCGGGCAUGCCUGUCCGAGCGUCAUUUCAACCCUCGAACCCCUCCGGGGGGUCGGCGUUGGGGAUCGGCCCUUUACGGGGCCGGCCCCGAAAUACAGUGGCGGUCUCGCCGCAGCCUCUCCUGCGCAGUAGUUUGCACACUCGCAUCGGGAGCGCGGCGCGUCCACAGCCGUUAAACACCCCAAACUUCUGAAAUGUUGACCUCGGAUCAGGUAGGAAUACUCGCUGAACUUAAGCAUAUCAAUAAGCGGAGGA
rnacentral:misc_RNA from 1 species